ensembl:snRNA U6 U6 spliceosomal RNA
GUGCUUGCUUCGGCAGCACAUAUACUAAAAUUGGAACGAUACAGAGAAGAUUAGCAUGGCCCCUGCGCAAGGAUAACAUAGGGUCAGUGUUCAUAUACUUGU